rnacentral:rRNA from 1 species
GAUAAACGCUAGCGGCAGGCUUAACACAUGCAAGUCGAGGGGCAGCAUAGAUUGUAGCAAUACAAUUGGUGGCGACCGGCGCACGGGUGCGUAACGCGUAUGCAACCUACCCGUCACAGGGGGAUAAUCCGGAGAAAUCUGGUCUAAUACCCCAUAACAUAUGGAUCGGCAUCGGUUCAUGUUGAAAUUUUCGGAGGUGACGGAUGGGCAUGCGUAGCAUUAGCUUGUUGGUGAGGUAACGGCUCACCAAGGCGACGAUGCUUAGGGGGACUGAGAGGGUUUCCCCCCACACUGGUACUGAGAAACGGACCGGACUCCUACGGGAGGCAGCAGUGAGGAAUAUUGGUCAAUGGGCGCAAGCCUGAACCAGCCAUGCCGCGUGCAGGAUGACGGCUCUAUGAGUUGUAAACUGCUUUUGUACGAGGGUAAAGUGGGUUACGUGUAACCUUUUGAAAGUAUCGUACGAAUAAGGAUCGGCUAACUCCGUGCCAGCCGCCGCCGUAA